GGAGUGAACGCUGGCGGUAGGCCUAACACAUGCAAGUCGAACGGCAGCACAGUGGUAGCAAUACCAUGGGUGGCGAGUGGCGGACGGGUGAGGAAUACAUCGGAAUCUACCUUUUCGUGGGGGAUAACGUAGGGAAACUUACGCUAAUACCGCAUACGCCCUUUGGGGGAAAGCCGGGGAUCGCAAGACCUGGCGCGGAUAGAUGAGCCGAUGUCGGAUUAGCUAGUUGGUGAGGUAAUGGCUCACCAAGGCGACGAUCCGUAGCUGGUCUGAGAGGAUGAUCAGCCACACUGGAACUGAGACACGGUCCAGACUCCUACGGGAGCAGCAGUGGGGAAUAUUGGACAAGUGGGCGCAAGGCCUGAUCCAGCCAUACCGCGCGGG
rnacentral:rRNA from 1 species